GAUGUUUUUGAAUAAAAUCAAUGAUUACUGUUGCAUGUGUAUAUAAAUCUUCAAAUUUACACGAUAAGAGCGAAUGAAUUAACUUAUGCGAAAGAGAUUUCUUUUUCUAAUUUGCGCAUGCGUAUGAGGCCGACAUUUCGAAUUUAUUUGCGCCAGUAUGAUUACCACAACAAGUUAACAGUUGCUCGAGGCAGUGCAAAAUGUCUUCACCAAUGAACCCAUGUCUGAAAAAUACAUGACGGGUAAAAAGAAUAAACAUGCCUUUGGUGGUUCAAGCUUUUUUGAAAUAAUAAGAGAUGCUAUAGCUACAAGUCACAAAUGUGCAACAUGGACAAAAAUAUGGAACUAGUGUGCAAUAUACCUAAAAUACGCCUUGAAAUAUCGGGGAUGUGUCUAGCAAAAGGACUAACAUUUUAAAUAAAAUUAAGUAUUCAGUUUGUGUUUGUUUGAAAUUGUAAGAUGCAUAUGUGAGCAAAAUGUUAUAUAAUUACUGUUUUAUGUCACAAACAUAUUUUGUGUAUGAACAAACAUGAUCCUGUCUAUUAUGAAAAAUGAAAGUACAAAAAUGUAUGCCAACUGACACUACAAUAAAGUUUAAGAUUAUCUA